UACGGGGGGGGCAAGCGUUGUUCGGAAUUACUGGGCGUAAAGGGCUCGUAGGCGGCCCACUAAGUCAGACGUGAAAUCCCUCGGCUUAACCGGGGAACUGCGUCUGAUACUGGAGGGCUUGAGUUCGGGAGAGGGAUGCGGAAUUCCAGGUGUAGCGGUGAAAUGCGUAGAUAUCGGGAGGAACACCAAUGGCGAAGGCAGCUUGCUGGGACGGUACUGACGCUGAGACGCGAAAGCGUGGGGAGCAAACAGG
rnacentral:rRNA from 1 species